rnacentral:rRNA from 1 species
UACGGAGGAUCCGAGCGUUAUCCGGAUUUAUUGGGUUUAAAGGGUGCGUAGGCGGCCUGUUAAGUCAGGGGUGAAAGACGGUAGCUCAACUAUCGCAGUGCCCUUGAUACUGAUGGGCUUGAAUGUACUAGAGGUAGGCGGAAUGUGACAAGUAGCGGUGAAAUGCAUAGAUAUGUCACAGAACACCAAUUGCGAAGGCAGCUUACUAUGGUGUCAUUGACGCUGAGGCACGAAAGCGUGGGGAUCAAACAGG